AUGUUUGUGAGUUCCACCUACUACAACUGGUGGCCCCAUGAGUGUAUCCCUCUCGACUUCAUCCCUUGUGAGGAAAAGAGAGAUGGUGUCCUGUCCCAGGUUCAGCUGCAGGAGUCAGGCCCAGGUUUGGUGAAGCCCUCGCAGACCCUCAGCCUCACCUGCUCUGUCUCUGGAUUCUCCAUCACAACCAGUAAUUACUGUUGGAAUUGGAUCCAGCAGCCCAUGGGGAAGGGGUUGCUGUGGAUUGGGAAGAUAUGUGCUAGUGGUAACACUUACUACAGCCCAUCCUUCAAAAGUCGCAGUUCCAUCUCUAGGGACACAGGCAAGAAACAAUUCUCCCUGCAGCUGAGCUCCUUGACUGCUGAGGACACAGCUACGUAUUACUGUGUGAGAGACACAGUGAGGGGAAGUCAGUGUGAGCCCAGACACUAA